GAGUCGCGUUCUUGGGAUUGGAGCGUAAACGGGUGGUAAAUUUCAUCCAAAGCAAAAUAUAUACUCGAGACCGAUAGCACAAAAGUACCGUGAGGGAAAGGUGAAAAGAACUUUGAGAAGAGGGUUAAAUAGUGCCUGAAAUCGUUGAGAAGGAAGCGGAUGCCGCCGUUGCAUAUGCUGAUUGUAGGAUUGCUGCUCGCUCCUGUCUUCUGCUACUCAUUCACAGACCUGGUCGUGUUGAGCAGUUGUUUGGCAGAUGUUAGUGGUGUUUCCUACUCUCAGUCGUCAGCAUCACUGGCUGAGUGGAAAUAAUCCUUGGAUGCUAAUUGGUUCGCUAUCUGUGAAUUGGUUGCUUCCUUGCGAUACUCACUACUCGGUCAGUGAGGAAGUGCGUUUGCUGGUCAACGAGCUUUCUAACUGUCAUUACCCUGCGCUUUUCGAUUCGUCGAGUGGCCAGGAUGUGGCUUUGAGAUUGUUCGCACUUAGUAAUCGCGAUGCUGGCUUCCAACGGUUGCCUCCGGCCCGUCUUGAAACACGGACCAAGGAGUCUAACGUAUGUGCGAGUGUGUGAGUGGCAAACUUAUACGCGUAAUGAAAGUGAGGCCGUAUGGCCAUGUUGGGGUCACCAACAACCGACCUUGAUCUUCGGUGAAAGGUUUGAGUAUGAGCAUAUCCGUUAGGACCCGAAAGAUGGUGAACUAUGCCUGAGCAGGGUGAAGCCAGGGGAAACUCUGGUGGAGGCUCGUAGCGAUACUGAGCGAUACUGAGCGAUACUGAGCCAAGCGAGUGACCGAUACCGGGCCAUUGUUGCAAGAUAAUUGGCAACAAUGAGUAGGAGGGCGUGGGGGUUGUGAAGAAGCUUGGACGUGAGUCUGAGUGAAACAGCUUCCAGUGCAGAUCUUGGUGGUAGUAGCAAGUAUUCAAUAAGAGAACAUUGAAGGCCGAAGUGGGGAAGGGUUCCAUGUGAACAGCACUUGGACAUGGGUUAGCCGAUCCUGAGAGACAGGUUAAAUUCCAUCGGAUUGGAGCUUUGGCUCUGUUUCUCGAAAGGGAAGCUGGUUAGUAUUCCAGCGCCGAGACGUGGAUAAUAUGUGGCAACACAAGUGAACUCGGACACGCCAUAGGGGACCCCAGGAAGCGUUGUCUUUUCUUUUUAACAGUUCGACUUACCCUGGAAUCAGAUCAUCUGGAGAUAGGGUUUUCGAACUGGAAUAGCACCUUGUCUAACAGGGUGUCUGGAGUGUUCUCGCUGGCCCUUGAAAAUCCGAGGGAUAGAUUUAUUCGCACUCUCGAUCUUUUGGUUUUGGAUUUUGGAUUUUGGUAUUUCAAAACGAAAUUCCAAACUCUCAACGAUGGAUGCCUCGGCUCGAGA
rnacentral:ncRNA from 1 species